GACUCAACACGGGAAACUCACCAGGUCCAGACAUAACUAGGAUUGACAGAUUGAUAGCUCUUUCUUGAUUUUAUGGGUGGUGGUGCAUGGCCGUUCUUAGUUGGUGGAGUGAUUUGUCUGGUUAAUUCCGAUAACGAACGAGACCUUAACCUGCUAAAUAGCCAGACCGUCUUUUGAUGGUUGCAGGCUUCUUAGAGGGACUGUCAGGAUCUACCUGACGGAAGUUUGAGGCAAUAACAGGUCUGUGAUGCCCUUAGAUGUUCUGGGCCGCACGCGCGCUACACUGACAAAGCCAGCGAGUUUAUCACCUUGGCCGGAAGGUCCGGGUAAUCUUGUGAAACUUUGUCGUGCUGGGGAUAGAGCAUUGCAAUUAUUGCUCUUCAACGAGGAAUGCCUAGUAAGCGCAAGUCAUCAGCUUGCGUUGAUUACGUCCCUGCCCUUUGUACACACCGCCCGUCGCUACUACCGAUUGAAUGGCUUAGUGAGGUCUUUGGAUUGGCUUUAGGGACCCGGCAACGGGACUCUGUUGCUGAGAAGUUGAUCAAACUUGGUCAUUUAGAGGAAGUAAAAGUCGUAACAAGGUUUCCGUAGCUCAAGUCUACGAAGAACAGUAAUGUUCCUUCCGCAGAGUACACUUGCAGAAGCCUUAGUGGCCUGAAAGGGUUUCAUCAGCGACUCUAAACAAGUAGGUGGAUUAAACGCUAGUCUCUUUCAAAGAGGCAACACUAUCAAAUUGCGGGAAGAUCCUGUCAGGUCCACAUCACCGCGGCUCACUGAAAGGUGUAGUGCAGCACCAGGCUAACAACCUUGGGUAUGGUAAUAGUAUGUGGAAUAGGGAGAAUCUGCAGCCAAGCCCCUCUCUUGGGGUGCAGUUCACAGGCCAAAUGGUAGUGGGCACUCUGGUGCUUAAGAUAUGGUCGAGUCCCAAUUGAAAAAUUGGGUACAAGUACUCUGAUUGAUUACAUAAGUCUAUGCUCAGUCAAAUACAGCUAGUUGUAAAUGCAAAUGUUCCGUAGGUGAACCUGC
rnacentral:rRNA from 1 species